rnacentral:rRNA from 1 species
AUUGAACGCUGGCGGCAGGCCUAACACAUGCAAGUCGAACGGUAACAGGAAGAAGCUUGCUUCUUUGCUGACGAGUGGCGGACGGGUGAGUAAUGUCUGGGAAACUGCCUGAUGGAGGGGGAUAACUACUGGAAACGGUAGCUAAUACCGCAUAACGUCGCAAGACCAAAAAGGGGGACCUUCGGGCCUCUUGCCAUCGGAUGUGCCCAGAUGGGAUUGGCUAGUAGGUGGGGUAUCGGCUCACCUCGGCGCCGAUCCCUAGCGGGUCUGAGAGGAGGACCGGCCACACGGGACCUGGGACACGGUCCAGACGCCUAGGGGGGGAAGAGGUGGGAAUAUUGCACAAUGGGCGCAAGCCUGAUGCAGCCAUGCCGCGUGUGUGAAGAAGGCCUUCGGGUUGUAAAGUACUUUCAGCGGGGAGGAAGGGAGUAAAGUUAAUACCUUGGCUUAUUGACGUUACCCGCAGAAGAAGCACCGGCUAACUCCGUG